rnacentral:rRNA from 1 species
AUUGAACGCUAGCGGGAUGCUUUACACAUGCAAGUCGAACGAGUGGCGGACGGGUGAGUAAUAUAUCGGAACGUGCCCAGUAGCGGGGGAUAACUACUCGAAAGAGUGGCUAAUACCGCAUACUCUUGGAUCGGCCGAUAUCGGAUUCGCUAGUUGGGGGGGUAAAGGCUCACCAAGGCAACGAUCCGUAGCUGGUUUGAGAGGACGACCAGCCACACUGGGACUGAGAAACGGCCCAGAGUCCUACGGGAGGCAGGAGUGGGGAAUUUUGGACAAUGGGCGAAACCCGGAUGCAGCCAUCCGGCGUGUAGGAGAAGGCCUUCGGGUUGUAAAGUACUUUUGGCAGUGAAGCGGUAUCUGCAGAAUAAGCACCGGCUAACUACGUGCCAGCAGCCGCGGUAAUAC